rnacentral:rRNA from 1 species
UACGUAGGGGGCAAGCGUUGUCCGGAAUCAUUGGGCGUAAAGCGCGUGUAGGCGGUUCGGUAAGUCCGCUGUGAAAGUCGGGGGCUCAACCCUCGGAUGCCGGUGGAUACUGUCGGGCUUGAGUACGGAAGAGGCGAGUGGAAUUCCUGGUGUAGCGGUGAAAUGCGCAGAUAUCAGGAGGAACACCAAUUGCGAAGGCAGCUCGCUGGGACGUUACUGACGCUGAGACGCGAAAGCGUGGGGAGCGAACAGG